rnacentral:pre_miRNA from 1 species
CCCUCUCUGUGUCCUCCCAGUGGUUUUACCCUAUGGUAGGUUACGUCAGGCUGUUCUACCACAGGGUAGAACCACGGACAGGAUACGGGGAGCU